rnacentral:rRNA from 1 species
ACGAACGCUGGCGGCGUGCUUCACCCCUGCCAGUCGAACGGAAAGGCCCUGCUUUUGUGGGGUGCUCGAGUGGCGAACGGGUGAGUAACACGUGAGUAACCUGCCCUUGACUUUGGGAUAACUUCAGGAAACUGGGGCUAAUACCGGAUAGGAGCUCCUGCUGCAUGGUGGGGGUUGGAAAGUUUCGGCGGUUGGGGAUGGACUCGCGGCUUAUCAGCUUGUUGGUGGGGUAGUGGCUUACCAAGGCUUUGACGGGUAGCCGGCCUGAGAGGGUGACCGGCCACAUUGGGACUGAGAUACGGCCCAGACUCCUACGGGAGGCAGCAGUGGGGAAUAUUGCACAAUGGGCGGAAGCCUGAUGCAGCAACGCCGCGUGCGGGAUGACGGCCUUCGGGUUGUAAACCGCUUUCGCCUGUGACGAAGCGUGAGUGACGGUAAUGGGUAAAGAAGCACCGGCUAACUACGUG